rnacentral:rRNA from 1 species
GACGAACCACACGAACGUUAUUCGGAAUUACUGGGGCUUAAAGGGUGCGUAGGCGGCGCAGAAAGUUGGGGUGUGAAAUCCCUCGGCUCAACCGAGGAACUGCGCCCAAAACUACUGUGCUUGAGGAAGAUAGAGGUAAGCGGAACUUACGGUGGAGCGGUGAAAAUGCGUUGAUAUCGUAAGGAACACCUGUGGCGAAAGCGGCUACUGGGUCUUUUCUGACGCUGAUGCAGCGAAGCCAGGGAGCAACGGGGAUUAGAAAACC